AAAAUGGAUACAAUGGAUUUUUCAAAGGAAUUGUUCCGAGAACACUCCGAAGAACUCUAAUGGCAGCAAUGUCAUGGACUUUAUAUGAAACUGUAUCCAGACAAGUGGGUCUGAGGUGAAGAACUGUGAAAAUCAUUGAGACUUUUUUUGUCCAUUCAAGGAUUUUCUUAAAAUUUUGCACCAAAUUGGUACCAUAUGGCUCAUUUUUUAUAAACGUCUUAUGUUCU
rnacentral:misc_RNA from 1 species